rnacentral:rRNA from 1 species
AACGAACGCUGGCGGCAUGCCUAACACAUGCCAGUCGAACGAGACCUUCGGGUCUAGUGGCGCACGGCUGCGUCACGCGUGGGAACCUUCCCUUAGGUUCGGCCUACCUCCCCGAAAGGGGUGCUAUUACCGGAAAAUGUCUCCGGACCAAAGAUUUAUCGCAGUUGGAUGGGCCCGCGUUGGCUUGGCUAGUUGGUAGGGUAAAAGCCUACCAAGGCGACGAUACAUAGCUGGUACGCGAGGAUGCUCAGCGACACUGGGACGAAGACACGGCCCGGACGCCUACGAGAGGAAGGAGGGGGGGAUAUUGGACCAUGGAGGAAAGCCCGAUACAGCUAGGCUGGGUGAGUUAUGCAUGGCUUAGGGUUGUAAAGCCCUCUUAACCGGGAUGAUAAUGACAGGACCGGGAGAGUAAGACCCGGCUAACUGCGUG